GGAGUAGCUCAGGUGGUUAGAGCAGCGGAAUCAUAAUCCGCGUGUCGGGGGUUCAAGUCCCUCCUCCGCUA
rnacentral:tRNA from 1 species